GGAGUGGGAGCUAAGAAAGAAGAGGAAGAGGUGACGACCUGCUGGAGCAAACGCCCAAGGGAAUUAAUGGAAGAUCUGGUCCAACCAUGAACUGCCCAGCAAAGGAAGGGGAGGGAGCUGUGGCAGCAGGGCAGGUAUCAGGAAAGAGGUGAUAUUAGGACAGCAGAGGGAUGGGUGAUGACCCCUCUCUGGUGACAAGUGACAGAACACAAGGAAAUGGAAUGAAGCACUGUUGGGGAGGUUGAAAUUGGACAUCAGGAACAUCUUCACUAGAGGCUCACCACAGGUGGUUGUCUACUGGAACACCCAGCUUCCCAGGGGAGUGAUGAUGGCACCAAGCCUGUCAGAGUUCUAGAAAAGUGUCUGGACAAUGCUCUUAGUCAUAUGGGUCUGUAAUGGAUAUCUGAAUAUCUGUGUGAUGUAUGCUUCCAAAGUCUCAUGGAGAUCUGUCUAGUGGGCAUACUCAAGCUGGCAUUUCCAAAGCUACUUUCCAAGUCAGAGAACAACAUGCUUCUCGAAUAUUUUAUUAAGUGAUUAUUUUGAAUUGAUAAUUUA